AAAAUUUAAGUAGGUCUGAAGGAUGGUCUAGGCUCUUUUAACCUUUGAGGGUUUGUCAGAGCUGAUCUGCCUGUGGUGAAUUUUUCUCAGGAUAGCUGUAAAAGGAAGUGAACAUGGAUUAGAAUAAUCUGAACCUUAAGAUUUUACAGGUUAGAUAUCAGCUUUCUCAUAAAUAGGCUUUGCUUUCUCAGCUCCUAAUUUUUCAUAUUUUGUUAGGAUAUUUCAUAUGACUAUCUCAGGAAAUCUGUCAUUCCCACUUUUAUAGUUGUGUAAGUGUGGCUUACAAUUUAGAAUUCUGCCUACUUCUGAGUUCAAAAGAGCUAUGUUGUUGAAUGACAUGAUAAAACAUUAAUAUUUUAUAAUUCUCCACAGACAAACAGAACCAUGCAUCAUGGCUAAGAUGAGCACAGCAGAAUGCAUCAAGGGAAAGUGCAAAAAGGAGAUUCAUUACACAAGGUUCUAUUUACACACAGGAACAAUAACAUUCCUUGAGCACUUAGUCUAUGCCAGGCACAGUUCUAAAUAUUUUAUAUGUAUUCACAUAUUUAAUGCUGAUAGCGAAACUUAGGAUGCAUGUGCUAUUGUCUCUACGUUUUAUAGAUGAGAAAACUGAAACAUAUACUGAAUCAGUAAUUUGAUCAAUGUCAAAUUGUUGGUAAGUGGAAAAGAUGAGGUUAAAAGGCAAGCAAUUUGGCAUUAGAUUAUACACCUUUAUUUUUCCAUAUUGCCUAUGAUCAACACUAAUCAUCUUGCUUUUACCAGGUAUACUGCUUAAUUAAGAUUGCCAGUGAUGGUGGAGAUACCUGUGAUGUAUUGUGACAAAGCUGCAUAAUAAACCACUGAAAAGUUCAGGGUCUUAACAAUGAGUGUUUAUGCAAUAUUAUAACAGUGUAUCACUGGGAUUCAGCUGAUCAAGGCUAGGUGUGGCUGAACUUGCCUGGGUUCAUUCCUUCUCUGCAAAUGGUUCUAUUUCAUUUGCCUCUCCACCAGUCUCAACUUGCAUCUUUUUUUACCAAUAUUUUAUUGGCCCAAUGAAACCACUUCAAGAGUUUCAGAGUGUGAGGGCCCUACCAAAGAUAUAUAACAAUGGGUAUGAAAUAGGAAGAAGAAAUAUUUGAGUCAUUAGAUCAAUCUACUAUAAUUAGUAACAAGGAAAGUGAAUUGGGUUGGAAAUUAAAUUCUAUUCUAUUCAUUCAUCCAUUCAUUCAUUUCUUCAGUAAGCUCUCUUAGGUUUCAUACAUAAGUGCUAUUCUUAUAUCCUAGACAUACCAAGAUAAAAUUCAGAGUUGAAUCUUCAAAAAGACUUGUAAUCUUAUGGGUGAGACAGAUAAGUCAAUAUUUACAAUACACCACAGUAUUGCCAAGAAUUACAUUAUAAGAACAAAGUCUAAAGCUCCCAAGAAGGGUUGUGUUAAGGAAAGGGAAGGAAGAAAUGGGAGUAGUGAUUCUCCUAAGAUAUUCUUUGGGCUGAAUCUUGAAAUGUAAGUAAUUCACAUAAGAGAACAAAAAUCAUGCAUUUAUUAUAAGCAGCAGGGUGUCAAGAGAUAAAGCUAUAGAAGUCAGAUCAUGAAGGGAUUUCCAUGUCACCCUAAACAGCACAAACUAUCCUGAAGAUGGUAUAAGGCUAUGAAAUUUAAAGCAUAUUAUCAAACUUUGUACAGAAGGUAUAAACAAUGCCUGAAAAAUUUUCUUAUGGAUAGUUUAGAAAUUCAUGAAUAGGUAAGUAAGUGGUACCCUAUAGACAAAAGCCUUCUUUAAUAUUCCUGCAUUUUGAAGUUCUCAAAUACACUUUCUUACUGAUUUUCCCAUAAGGGAAUCAGGCCCUGAAUGACUAGAUCACAGUUAUUAAUAAAAAAAACAUGCACAGUAAGCACCAAAAGGAUCAAUCUAUGUAUAUGCACUAAGAAAUACAACCUUCACCCAAAUUGUGAAGGUCUGAGCCAGCAGAGCUGACGCAUGGGCUCCCAAUGGCCAAACUCUGUGGCCAGUUCAGUAAAGAUGAUCAAAGCUUGUUUUGUUGAUUUACUGUCAAAUAUGGCAGUGGCAGGGCAAAAGCAGCAAGGGAUGCAGACAUGGGGAUCAGAUUUCUUGGUGGACAUGGAAUGAAAACAAGGGAGUUAGAUGAAUUGUAUGUUUAUGGCAACAGGUAAGAAAACCUGUUGUUCAAUCUCACAAUAGUAUUGGAGUUUUAUUCAGAUGAGAAGGACUUGAGGGCUCCCUGGCUCCAAACCCAAGGGCCGGCCUUGCCAGUGGGAUAUGAAUAAUUUGAUGUCCAACUAGGGUCCCUUCUUUAAUUCAUAGUUUGUUAUUACUUACCCAAAGAUAUGACUACUUUUCUUGCUUCUUUAUGGUUAACUGAUGCCUCUUCAGUGUGGCACAUUUUUUUUAAAUAUAUUAACACUUCAACCAGAAGCUAUCUGGUCUGUCAUACAACUGCUGAUCUAUGCAUAGUCUAAUAUUGAUUUAUAAUUUGUCUCCUAGAGAACCAAUUAUUUCUGUCAUUGUCAAUAUUCCUAGUGUUGUAGCCUCUCAAUAUAAAACAAACACGCAAACAAAAACAAGGACACUAGAAUGUGCAGCCAAAGAUUAUUAUAUGAACAUACAUAUGCAGUCAAGUUUUAAAAAAAAAACAGAUGUUUUUGGUGAUUUAACGAUGUUUAAUAAUGGAUCUCCACUGGUAAGUUUUGACCUGCAAUAAAAACAUGUGAGUUUCUCUAAGUUACUUAGAUCAAUAUAUUCAGGAAAACAUAUUUCUUAUUCACAGAAAAUUUUAACUUCAAGUAAUACAUCUUUCUAAUUAUAUAGUAAAAGGCAAUGGAUACCUCCAGGUAAUUUUUGAAACAGGAGAAGAAACAAUUUGUUCUCUGAUUUCCAAUUUUCUUUUCCUAUGUUCUUUAUUACCAUGAGCAAAAUAUUUGAAUGAAAUAGGAUUUUUGUUUAUAGAAGACUAUCUUCUGUUAAUGUUGAGAAACCAUCCUGACUCCUAAAUAAUACUUUGAUUCCAUUGCAAUGAAUGAAGAAGAAGGAAAUAAAGUAAGUAUCUCCAAACUGGUCACUACUAUUGGGUAUUUAUGGCUCCAACUAUUUUGCUACAAGAUAAGCAAUUAAAAUAAGGUAUUGUGUGCACCCAUACAUACAAAUUAUGCAAGAAAGUCAGAAAACAUUUACCUGGUGUAGAAAUAUUGUUACUUUUAUGUUUAUCUGUUUCUGUUAUUUUUCUAACAUACGAUUUACAGAUUGGAGAACAGAAGAUUAUCAAUUUAAUAGAAUGCUUCUGUUUUCAAGUAGUGGAAAAUUCAACUCAAACAGGCUUAAUUAAUAAAGUUAAUUGAUUGCUUUUGUGGCUGAAAAGUCUUUCAAGUAGUGCUCCAAAGUAUUAUCAGAACUUGUUUUAUCAUUUUUUUGCACAUGUUAACUCCUUUUUUGAGGUGUUUCCUUUAGUAAUUUAGGCUUAUUUCCUCAUAGUCCAAGAUGAAUGAUGUGGCUCCCAAGAAAUCAUAUUUCUGUAUUUCUAUCCAGCAGAGCAGAGGACUUUGGCCACAAAAUACUAAGAGAUGACUGGAUAUUCAUCCUAAUCAGAACAACUAAACCACAGGAUCACUUCUGAACAAAUAUCCAUCACCAGGCAGUCCAUGUGCCCCUCUGUACCUUGUAAUCGAGUCAGCUUCCUACACCAUGUGGUGUUUAUGGCAGCAAGGAACAGAUGUUCAUUAAAAUUAGGGUAGUAUACUGAGACAGAGAAUAAGUUUAGAAGUCAAGGAAACAAUGUCACACUCUGACUUUAACAUUAAACAUACACAUUAAAAUUUAUUCCUCUUGGCAGUAAUGCAUUUGGGCAAUGUGAAUAAAACACACAAAGAAAUCAUUUCAACCAAGUUUUCAAUGAAAAUAAUUCAUCUCUAAAAAGGAUUAAUGAGAACGAGGACACUUUACCUAAUUAGAUUGGGAUAAUUGAUACCUACCUUCACCCACAGCAAAACUCCAUAACCUUUUCCAUUUGCUUUUAUGAUAUCCCAAAAUAUCACUGCUAAUCAAAAGCUGUUGCAAGCUCCCAAGUUCAACUUCCCCUUUUAUCUUCUAAGCAGCCAUGAAUCCACUGCCCAGUUGUACUUACCUUCUGUCAUCCUUCUCCACACCAGUAAAAUGCUGAGUAACAAAAAGGCAGGAGGAACAUUAAGCCAUCACUGGCAAGGAACAAAGAGCUCACCCAACUCCAGCAUGUUGAGUUUGUGAUCAAGUUAGGAGAUUCAGUCAUUUAAAAACCACAUGCACAUGCAAAUUGAGACAUGCAAAUUGAGACAUACAUUUCUGCAUUAUAUAUAAUACUCUGGUGUUUACUCCAUAUAUUACCUUGUUUUAAAUUGCUUCCAUUGAGAAAGGUACACCGUAAGUUUUUUUCCUAAAGAGAUACUAAUUAUCAUUGGGUAGUGACUAAACCAAAAGUCAGAAUUUCCAUCUUCAGGGCUAUUUAAACCCACUAUACCUUCAUUUGUUUACAUUUGCUAGAAAGCAUUUAUUCUACUUCACAUGGCAGAAGAAACCUUACUCCUGCAAAAGUAAAUUCUUUUGCAUGAAAUCCAAAAGUAAGGUAAAGUGACUUGCCAGCUUUCCUCUAUAUCCCCUUUGAAUACAGAUUGUCAUUUUCCAGGUACUUCCAGCCUUGAGUAGUGGGAAAAUUUCAAGAUGUUCACUUCAUAGCAUCCAGACUUCAAUGAACUGCCCCAUCAAACUGUUCUGUGCAUUAAAUAAAUUGUGCAUUGGCAAUAAAUAUUCCCCUAGUUGAGGUUGGUGUUAAAAGGAUUUAAGAUGAAAAAUCUCAGCAAUAAAGUAUAUAUAUAACCAACAGCCUUGGAAAGAAAUCGAUUCAAUGUGGAUUUAAAAUCAAGUUUUACACAAACUUACAAGUGCUUUAAUAAAUUAUUAGGUAUUUUAUUCUAAUAAAAACUUGACUUUUAUGCUAAUCAACUAAGGAGAGAUGUAUUUGCUUUAGAUGAAUACUUCUAUAUAAUAAAACUUAAUUUACUUUCAAGAGCUCCUCUUUUAAUUACUACCAGCUUGUACACAAAAAGGAAAAAACACGUUGUAAAUUACAGUUAACUAUUUGAACUAUAUAGAAAGAUAUUCUAUUGCUUAAUCAUAACAUAAACUCAUUAUAAAGUAUUUGACAUAAUCAUAGUCCACUUCAGAAGAGUUGUUGAUAUUAAAUAAUACAUAAUUUUGUGUAUUAGAUGAAUAUUGAAGAUAAAAAGGCAAUAAAUGAAAAGGGUCUUCCACAGUACAUUUUUAUAAUUAAUAUUCAAAUUCUUUAAUUUGUUCCCACCCUAUGUCCUUCCUACUAAACCUGCCUUCAAUAUUCCUAACCCAGAACAGACACCACUGCCUCCUGCCUGGUAUUUCUGACCCCACUUGAUGAGGAAGUAGGGUGGGACCCAUGUUUCUCCCACACAGGAGUGAGGCAGUCAUUCCCCCACUGCUGACAGUCCAGACUGCUGGUUAUUUUCAACUGAGUCUCUUCAAAGUUUUCCAAAGCCAGGGGUUCUCUAACCUUAACAUGUAUUAGAAUCAUUGGGAGAGCUUAAAGAGUGGAUAGCUGAUGUCCCCAGAUUUCCGAUUUAGUAAAUCAUGGCAAGAUGUCCCAUAUUCUACCAUUUUAACAACCACCAAGGUGAUGAUGAUGAUGUUCUGGGAACUACACUUUGAAAAUCACUGUUUUAAGCUGAAGAGAGCUGCAUCACCCAAGAUCACACCCCCUACCCAGUAGCAGACCAGGUCCAUAGGGAGUAUAAAAGCCAGGCCCCUUGCCUCAAAGAGACAAAUCUAAAGCAUCAUCUCAGCUCCAGAUCUCCUGGUGGAAUUGGCUGAGGCAUUUAGCCUUGCAUUGUCCUUCAAUAUUCCCUCUGCCCAACCCUAUGUCCAUUCUUUUCCUAUAGCAGUUGAUCUUAUACGUAUUACAAGAGCCAAACUGAUCUAUUUAAUAUACUGAUCUAACAUUGUAAUGGUGUUUCAAUAUGACUAGAAUGCCCUCUAAACUUGUAGCUAUGUUUUGUAUUCUUCCCAAUUCUGGAAUAAUAAAACAUCUUAGCUUCUACUGGCUGUUAAUGCUGCUGGAGAAAGAGUGUACACAUUCAUAAUGUCCCAUUCCAAAUGAGUCCUCUGAACUGCCUGAUAGUACUAGACUGUGUCUAGGCAGUUUACUCUCUGACUUUCCAUGGUAACUUUUUUUCCCCAUUUUCUCCUUACCACCCACUCCACUAUUUCCUAACAUAUUCUCAGAAGUUGGCUUUUUCGCCACCUUACCUCACUGUACAAAUCAGAUCAAAGUCAUCCUCCACCUUUUCUUUCCCUAUUCCCAAAAUCUAGUCCAAUAUCAAGUUCUGAUUAAUUUAUUUACAAAAUUAUGUCUCAAAUUUUUCUGCAUCUUUCCUUCCAACUGUCCAUUGGUGCCAAUGGUAUAGGCAAAUAUUAUUUCUUACUCCAAUAACAUUAAAGCCUUUCUGACUAGACCCAGGUUUUUGCUAUCUCAAAUCUGUUUUCUACCUUGGCAAUAUUUCUAAAACAAAACAAAACAAAA